rnacentral:sRNA from 1 species
AUGUGGUAUUGCCUUGUGCAUUGGAGUGUAGCAAAGAGGGCAUAUGCUGCCUUUCACAACCGAAAAAUAUCCACAAGCAAAACGAGUGGCAUUGUAGCUGGUGCUGUUCAAUUUCCCUUCACAUGUGAAGAAGCUGGUAUUGGCAUUUAACUCUGUAUCCAGCAGCUGCUGCAAUGGGCAGAGUGCGUUGGGGGCAGCCGUCGGGCUCAGGUAGCGUUGCUUACUCUGGUUUGUGGUUACAUGCUUGUCUUCCAGCUUCUCCAUACUGUCAAGCACGUUCCCCAUACUGCCAACCAUACGCUCCUUGGUCAGCAAGUUGAUGAUGGUGCUCAUUGGUAGGCAAAGGAGACUGGCGAGGAACUCUACGACAUCAUUACCGGCCUCGGCAAAGCAGACUUUCUGAGCCUUGGUAUCAAUCAAGAGUUUGAUCGAUAAUGUCUUCAUAGCCAUGAUUUUUCCCCUUUACCAAAAUUCUUUAAAUUUAUUGGUAGUUGAUUGAUUGCCUCUACAAUCACCAGUGAAAGAAAAUUACACAGGCUUUUAAUUGAUUAUAGGUCCAAAUGUUCAGUUAUGAGUAGCACAAUGGCACAUAGUGGAAAAUUAUACAGGCAAUUGAAUUGUCCAGGGAAAUUUAAGGAAGGCAAAGCAAAAGCAUGUUCCAGAUAUAUGAUCGAAAGAAACAUCUAGAUUGGUUGACAGCUGCUCAAAGUAGCAAAAGUGAUCUCCUAUGUAUAUACAAAAAAUACAACUUCUCCUGUAGACUAAGUUAAACAAUCUAUGCAUAUAACACAAUUUCCAAAUAAGUAAUAGCACAGCAGUAUGUUAAUCUUCUCCAAAUGGUAAUAUGGAAAAAUGGAUUCAGACCAAGUAAUCUGGUUUUCUGAAUAUCUCAUUUGGCAAGGCAUGGGAAAAAAACAAAACCUAGAAAACACAAUCUUAUAAAUGUUCUUCCAGACAAAAUCAUAGGUUGUAGUUUUGUACAAGCAGUUAAGCGCUACAGACAUGCAAGUAUAUGCAUGUUAUGUCAACUUGUGAAGUGUAAGCCUUCAACAGCAGCCUAAUCUUACUUUUUUUUUCUGCAAUUAAAUUUACUAUUCCUAAUUAAAUCAAUCACUCCUUUGUAUUUUAGGAUAGAAUUCCGGGCUAUUUUAGGAUAGAAUUGACUCACAA